UCUACGGUGACGUAGAAUCUGAAUGAAGCCUAAGGCAAAAUCCCGAACUGACGAACAGAAACUGUAUAUGAGGCUGUUUGAAGCGGACGAGUUUGCCAAACAAAACGAAGUCCAAUACUGCCCGAACUCCAAGCAGUAAAUACAGCAGUAACAUGGGACGAAGGUUGCCGUU
rnacentral:ncRNA from 1 species